GAAAGCCUUAAUAGGAAGUGGGAGGCAGGAGAUGUGUGGGAGGUCACGGUGAUGACUCCAUGAAAUUCAAGCUCAACAGACCGGAAUGCAGUGCUUUCUCUCUUUCUUGAGAUUGCUUUGCGUGUCGACCACCCCGCUGACCUGAGUGAUCUCUUACACUUCUUCCUCCUCUUUUCUAUGCUUUAUUUUCCGUAUUUUCUUUCAUUCUUUUUUUUUUUCAUUUUGAAAUGGGGAAAGAGGUUUUGACAAUGAGGAUAUAAAAGCUCCCUCUUCUGAAAUUGUAGUUGAGGAACGUUGCUGGCAGAAUCGAACCAUAAAAACCUUUUGCCAUCACUGAGUUAUCUCUUUUCCCCUCUUUUAACUGUUCUGCUUUCUCGUCUUCUUCCAUUUUUUUGUUUUAUUUUUCGCAUUUUCCUUCAAUUUCUUUUUCAGAAUAGAACCAUAAAACUUUUUGCAAAUUGCUAAUAUAUGGUUGUCUAUAUUGGCUGGUCAAUUUGGUUUUAUUCCACAAGAUUUAUGGGUUUAGGGUCUAGGAUGAUUUAUGAGCCAUGAGAUUGUUAAAACUCGGAAAUACUUUGAAGUUUGUGGCGUUUGAGAUGUUAAUUGAAAAGCAUAGUUAGCUUAUUGUCGCUGGUUGUAGGAUUGUUUGGUAGUUUUAUAUAAGAUUAUAUAGUUUUAUUGUCAUUCAUAAAUUGAUUUAACCGAGUAAUGUAAUUAGGAUUGAUGAGAAUGAGAGUUUUAUUCCAUCAUCUCAAUUUGAAACAGCUUUGCUUUCUAAUUGAGUGAUCUCUUAAGCUUAUCUUUUCUUCCUCUUUUCCUCGAAUUUAAAUCUUGUUCUCUUUACUGAGUAAUUAAUGCACCACUCGUUUUUGGAAAAUUAUUAUUAACUUCAUAAAGGUGCAGUUGUCUUAACAAUUUAGUUAAAUAUUUCAAAUCAUCUCAUGGGACUCAACAAAGACAACUGCGAUAGAGUUUUCACCUUUAAUAAAUUGUUUCACUGAAAGUGUGUUCCAAUUUCCAACGUCUUGACUAUGUAGGUGAGGUCUAUGAUGAUGAGUUCAAUUUGCCUACAUUGGCUGAUUAAUCGGUAGUUAGAUUAUGAUGUGUACCAAUAAUCUGAGACCUCCAAAUCACAUAACAUUGCUUGGAAUGCCUAAAA